rnacentral:rRNA from 1 species
AUUGAACGCUGGCGGUAUGCUUAACACAUGCAAGUCGAACGGUAGCAUGACUUAGCUUGCUAAGUUGAUGACGAGUGGCGAACGGGUGAGUAACGCGUAGGAAUAUGCCUUAAAGUGGGGGACAACUUGGGGAAACUCAAGCUAAUACCGCAUAAUUUCUUAGGAAAAAAGCUGGGGACCUUCGGGCCUGGCGCUUUAAGAUUAGCCUGCGUACGAUUAGCUAGUUGGUAGGGUAAAGGCCUACCAAGGCGACGAUCGUUAGCUGGUCUGGGAGGAUGACCAGCCACACUGGAGCUGAGACACGGUCCAGACUCCUACGGGAGGCAGCAGUGGGGAAUAUUGGACAAUGGGGGCAACCCUGAUCCAGCAAUACCGCGUGUGUGAAGAAGGCCUGAGGGUUGUAAGGCACUUUCAGUGGGGAGGAGAGUAUUUAGGUUAAGAGCUAGAAUACUGGACGUUACCCACAGAAGAAGCACCGGCUAACUCCGUGCCAGCCGCCGCCGUAA